rnacentral:tRNA from 1 species
GGGGAAUUAGCUCAGUUGGGAGAGCGUCGGUUUUGCACGCCGAAGGUCACCGGUUCGAGUCCGGUAUUCUCCA